rnacentral:rRNA from 1 species
UACGUAGGUGACCAGCGUUGUCCGGAUUUACUGGGCGUAAAGAGCGCGCAGGCGGUCGUUCAAGUCGAGUGUGAAAGCCCCCGGCUCAACUGGGGAGGGUCAUUCGAUACUGAUCGACUUGAAGGCAGGAGAGGGAAGUGGAAUUCCCGGUGUAGUGGUGAAAUGCGUAGAUAUCGGGAGGAACACCAGUAGCGAAGGCGACUUCCUGGCCUGUUCUUGACGCUGAGGCGCGAAAGCUAGGGGAGCAAACGGG